GAGUUUAUUCUUAAUCCAAUGUAAACGAACGUUGGAAUGGAUAACACCACAACACAAGCGACUGCUAGCAAACAACUCGAUAUGUUUUUCAAAGAAAACGUUUUUUUCAUAUCGGGUGAUAUUCUUUUGUUUUUACGACUUUUCCUGACGACUAGAAACAGUUUGUAGUUGAUAAAUAACAUUGCAGGGAUGAAAAGAAUAAAAAUAAUAAAAAUAAUUACAGCAUACACUUUGUCGGAAAUAACAAAGU